AUUGAACGCUGGCGGCAUGCCUUACACAUGCAAGUCGAACGGUAACAGGUCUUCGGAUGCUGACGAGUGGCGAACGGGUGAGUAAUACAUCGGAACGUGCCCAGACGUGGGGGAUAACGAGGCGAAAGCUUUGCUAAUACCGCAUACGAUCUAAGGAUGAAAGCAGGGGACCGCAAGGCCUUGCGCGUUUGGAGCGGCCGAUGGCAGAUUAGGUAGUUGGUGGGAUAAAAGCUUACCAAGCCGACGAUCUGUAGCUGGUCUGAGAGGACGACCAGCCACACUGGGACUGAGACACGGCCCAGACUCCUACGGGAGGCAGCAGUGGGGAAUUAUGGACAAUGGGCGAAAGCCUGAUCCAGCAAUGCCGCGUGCAGGAUGAAGGCCUUCGGGUUGUAAACUGCUUUUGUACGGAACGAAAAGGCUCUGGCUAAUACCUGGGGCACAUGACGGUACCGUAAGAAUAAGCACCGGCUAACUACGUG
rnacentral:rRNA from 1 species